rnacentral:rRNA from 1 species
AACGAACGCUGGCGGCAUGCCUAACACAUGCAAGUCGAACGAGACCUUCGGGUCUAGUGGCGCACGGGUGCGUAACGCGUGGGAACCUGCCCUUAGGUUCGGAAUAACUCCCCGAAAGGGGUGCUAAUACCGGAUAAUGUCUUCGGACCAAAGAUUUAUCGCCUUUGGAUGGGCCCGCGUUGGAUUAGCUAGUUGGUAGGGUAAAAGCCUACCAAGGCGACGAUCCAUAGCUGGUCUGAGAGGAUGAUCAGCCACACUGGGACUGAGACACGGCCCAGACUCCUACGGGAGGCAGCAGUGGGGAAUAUUGGACAAUGGGCGAAAGCCUGGUCCAGCAAUGCCGCGUGAGUGAUGAAGGCCUUAGGGUUGUAAAGCUCUUUUACCCGGGAUGAUAAUGACAGUACCGGGAGAAUAAGCUCCGGCUAACUCCGUG